rnacentral:miRNA from 1 species
AACCAUCAGGACACUGUGGUUUGUGGGGGCAGGAGGUGGAAGGGGAGCCUCGAUUUGCAAUGGUAAUUUUCUCUCCCCUUCCAUCCUGGCAGGCUUCAGAGAACUUUACCAG